AUACCAUUCUCAUCAUUUGUUCAUCUUGUCUAACAAGGCUACCCGAAAGAUCCCCUCUCAGGCCCCUGUAUGGUAAGGCUGUCAGGAAUCUAGACUUCAAUCCAGCCACUCCAUCCAUGAAGCCACACACAGCACCUCUAGCAAGCAAUACAAGCCCUGAUGAGCAAUCCCUGAUGACCUGUUUAGAUGCUGUGGAACAAGACUACUUACAAAAGAAACAAGGAUCAUUUUCCAAGCCUUCUCAGAGACCACGACUUGGCAGCUUCUUUGUCAACAAAUCCCCAGAAGCUGAUGAUGAUAUCCCAGAGUUUGAAAGCAUCUUUAAAGAUCUCUUCUGAAGCCAGUUAACUUCACAAUAUUCACAUAUGGUUUCCGUAGACAAUGGCAUCUUAAUGUUGAAGUGCAUAGAUGUAUCAUAAUAAAAUACAUUUUAUCUGCUGAUAUAAAACUAUUUUAAUCUAAGAUGUUAUUUUAGAAUAUGCAAUAAAUUAUCAACUUGGAAAUUAGAAAUUGUACAUGAAUGUGUAUCAUAUGAAGACUAUAAACAACUUCCUCAACAUUUUUUUCAAAUUAAUGAAUAUUAUUUUAUUAUAUAUUAUUAUUUCUUUAUUUACAAUAAGUAGCAUUUUAACGACUUAAAAUAUUAGGGAAAGCACAAAACUGGAAAGACAGUGAAUUUGUUUUACUUGAAUAUUAUGGUUCGUGAGAGUUUUUGCCUUAUUACACUUUACAUUGUUUCUACGAUAGUUUGGUAUGAAUAUUGAAGAUAAAGAAUUUGAUUUAUUUUGGAGAGAAAUAUUCCUGAGUAUUAAAAAAAGCAAUUCAAACUGACAGGAAGAUAGCCAAGAAAAAUAUUGAAUUAGAGAUACAUCUUAUUAAAACAAAAUAUUUUUUUUUAGGUAUGGCACUUUCAUUGGCUGUAUCUCUUGUAUGA